UAACCAUGGUGGAGGUAAGGGGUUUGCAAUUCUUUGUAUCUUUUCCAUGCUUGAUAUAAAGUUUUGUUGUCCUUUCGAACAAAAGAAGAAAUUUAUUUUUUAAAGCA
rnacentral:snoRNA from 1 species